ACGCACCGGACGUCCACACGGUGACCAGCAAGGAGAUCCACGCACCGCUCCAGUUCGACGAGCAAGACCUUGAGGACAGAACGACAGGCAAAGCAAGGCGCUUCACAGAUGGUCACACCUCAGGACGAAGUCGAGGUUCGAAAGCAGCACCCGGCCGUCGUCGCAAAGCUGGCCACGG